CCUCUCUCAGGGUUGCACCUGGAGAGUUUCCAAUACUCUACUAGUCUCAGCUACAGGAGGGAGAGCCAAGCAGAGGCCUAUCCAUUCCAUCCCUAGUUUGGAAAGUGGCUAGUGAGCGGAAGGCAGUCUGUUACAAGU